rnacentral:lncRNA from 1 species
GGAGGAAAUACACCAAAGAAAUAGUCAAUAAAAUGAGAAAAUAAUUCAAACUAAAAACUAGAAAUAAACCAAAAUUACAGGGAAUACAAAUAAUUUCUCAGUAAUAACAUGGAAGGUAAACAGCCUAAACUCAUAAAUCAAAAUAUAUAGACUGGCAGAUUGGAUUAAAAAUAAAACCCAACCAUAUGAUGUUGCUAUUAGACUUACCUCAUAGGCAAAGACAUCCAUAGACUGAAGGAGAAAGGAUGGGAAAAAACACCAUUCAGAUGGAUCUUGUAUACAAGUAGGGUGUUCUAUACUCAGAUAAAAUGGACAUCAAACCAAAGUUAAUUAGAAGGGACAAAGAUGGCCAUUUCACACUGCUUAAAGGAAUUAUAUAUUUUCAAGACAUAACGGUUGUAAAUGUUUAUGCCUCAAGCAAUGGACUAUUUAUAUACAUCAAACAGACCUUUCUCAAUUUCAUGAAUCAAAGAGACCACAACAUAGUAAUACCGAGUAAAUUUAACAACACUGGAUAGAUACUCCAAACAAAAACUAAGCAAUGAAAGUAUAGAACUAAGUAAUACAAUCAAUAAUUUAAAUUUAACAGACACAUAUAGAGUAUUUUACCCAUCAAUGACUGAAUACACUUUGUUCUCAUCAGCAC